rnacentral:rRNA from 1 species
AGAGUUUGAUCAUGGCUCAGGAUGAAUGCUAGCGGCGUGGAUAAGGCAUGCAAGUCGUGCGGGUUUAGACCCGCGGCAGACGAGGUAGUAAUACACAGGUACUCACCGAAGAGUCGGGCACAUUCCAUCGAAAGAUGGCGCAAUUCCCGAUGGUCCUUCCGAGGUAAAGAAGCAAUUCGCUCUUUGAGAGGCCUGUGCGGUAUCAGGUAGUUGGUAGGGUAACGGCCUACCAAGCCUACGACACCUAGGGGAGCUGAGAGGCUGACCCCCACCGAUGGGACUGAGACACGGCCCAUACACCUACGGGUGGCUGCAGUCGAGAAUAUUUGGCAAUGGGCGAAAGCCUGACCAUGCGACGCCGCGUGCUGGACGAAGUCCUUCGGGACGUAAACAGCCUUUACGCGUGAAGAAGUAAUUGACAUUAGCGCGUGAAUAAGGGGCUCCUAACUCUGUGCCAGCAGGAGCGGUAAUACAGAGGCCCCAAGCAUUAUCCGGAAUCACUGGGCGUAAAGGGUGUGUAGGCGGUCGUGUUAGUCCUUCGUAAAAGCUCUCGGACUCAAUCCGGGAAAUGCGGUGGAAACGGCACGACUUCGAGGACGCGAGAGGUAGAGGGAACUCAUGGUGUAGGGGUGAAAUCCGUUGAUAUCAUGGGGAACACCAAAUGCGAAGGCACUCUACUGGCGCGCUCCUGACGCUGAAACACGAAAGCGUGGGAAUCGAACGGGAUUAGAUACCCCAGUAGUCC